UCAAAGAGGUUGAGAAAAUAUUUUUGUAUUUUUUGAAUAUCAAAAACUAUUUAAAAUGAAUUAAAAAUAACAAGAAAAGAGAAAAUUAUUAAAAAAUAGCAAAUGAUAAAAUAAAAAAUAUUAAAAAUCAUUUUUAGAAACUAGAAAUUAAAAGAGAAAUAAUGCAAUUGGUCCCAUAUUUUUUGGAAUUAAAAUGAGAGAGUUAUGAAUUUUUGAAAUAAA
rnacentral:lncRNA from 1 species